GUUCAGUUUGAAUCGUUGUAGACGCCUCCAAGAAGCAGCUGCAGUUUUGGGAAAAAAGUGUUCAAAUAAGUCGCUGUUAUAGAGUUAUAUCCAUCAGGUCAACCGUCUGUAGUUAUUAUUGAAGUCACUGGUGGCGUAUGUGUCGUCACAGACACUUGUUUGUUCGACAAAUAUGAAACACAGAGGCAGAUAUCUGGUACUUCCGGGAAACGCUGGAGCCGCUGUGUUGGAGUUGGCAGUAGCAGCAUUGGCAAGAAGGAAACCUUGCAGACGAGCGCUGAGUGGACAUGAGGGCAGCUGAUCAGUGAAGCAGCAGCAGAUGAACAUCCAGGAGAUCAGAGCAUCUGAACAACAUGGCGUCAGGAUUUGCCUGGUGCAGCUGAUGCAGAGAGAAACUCUACAGUCAUUCAUGAGGAUGACAAACCUUCACAUGAGCACUGGAGGACAUUGCCAAAAAGACUGAAAAUUGUAAGUUACAGCAUGUUUGAAUGAUGUGGUUAUUUUAUUUUUGAAGCAAAAGUUACUGUGAAGAAUUACUAUUCAUGACAUGUCAACAAAAUCAAAUCUAGCCAGUAACGAGGCUUUAUUAGUUUAAAGAGGCAGUCUUGAAGAUUUCAGUCCUGUUUGGUUUGGUGGCAUCUGUAGUUACUGCUGGUAGCAGCAAUUUCUGGAGACAGCAAAACAAACUGCUGUUGUUUUAAUGAAAAAAAAUCAGAGAAUGUAUUGGCCCUUUAUCAUGAUUUUGUGACCUGAUUUCAUGCUGCAAACAGCAUAAGUCUGAGAACACCAAGCACACUGCUCCUUGUUUCAUUAUUUAGUGCAAUAUUUUAAACUGAUUCGCUGUCAAAAAAUGCCAACACUGACCUUUACCUUGUUUUGUAGGCACAUUUUUGAUGAAUGAUAGAGGUGAACACAUUGCAUUUGCUUUGACAGCUUUAUAAUCGAAGUCGGUGCCUGUUUUGACAUUUAAAUGACUUCAAUGUGGAGCUGCAGCAGCAGGAACUGUUCAGAUUGCAUUAGCUGCGAUCUUAGAAUCCACUGGCUCUAGUCUGAGUCAACAUUCUGUGUUCUUACGCAGAAUUUUUGUUUAUAGAAGCUGCAUUAGGAGGGACUUAACUCAGCAUUAUUUUCCAGAAUUGUCUCCUCAAACGUCCAGUUCAUAAAAUUGCAAAUUCCAUAUUAAUUACAGAUGAAUUAAUUACAGAUGUGUUCCCUGACAUACAGUGAUUUAAUAGGUGGAGAUCUUUAAGAUUGCCACUUGCGUUAUUAUCAGGGUGUCCUCUACAUUCAUUCAGCACCGGUGAAUCCCAGCCGCCGCUCCUUCAAAUUUCUUUCUUUUUUUUUUAAAUCAUCGCAAAUACACCACCGUCGCAUGUCUACACCUUCACAGCAGAUUUCUGCACUGUGUCGUGGUGAAGGAGGCCCUGUGGGAACGUCUGCUGGCUGAGGACAUGGUACAGGGGACGUUUGGGUGCCACCCCACUUUGCCAGAAAUUUCUCAAGAACAAAAUAUACUGACAGCAAUGAGGCAUCCAAAAGCUGUGGCAUUUAGUGAGAUGGGGCUAGACUACUCUCACAAAAACUUCACUGAACCCUCCAAGCAAAAAGAGACCAAAGAACUACAGACUCUUCACAACCUGCUCAAACUCUUGGUACAGGACCUCACCACACGGGUCAAGAAGGGCUGGACCCAAAUAUCCGAACACCCCCCCCCCCCCCCCCCCCCCCACUCCAUGAUCUUCAGAGUGCGUGAAGACUAGCGAGACAGGUAAACAGAAUCGGGCUGUUCUGUUUUUUGUGGAUUUUGUUUCUUGUUGUUUUACCAGUCCUUCGUGAUCAGCAGUAGAGUGUGUGAAGGCGUAAUGUUGCUUGAACAAUCUCAGAGACUCAAAAAUUGAUCUUCAAAGAAUCCAAAGCAGAAAAACAAAGACUGAGAACGCCUUCUGUCAAAUAGAUCAUAUUUCGUAUCAUUGUUCAUGCGAAUUAAUUUCAUGUUUCAAUAGUUCACAUUACCUUUUCUAACUUGUCUGGAUGUUUGUGUUAUUUCCGCUGUGUUUGGUUUGGUUUGAUGCACUGGGGGCAUUUUAAAAGCCUUCAGCUGUGAUUCUGUAUUCUUUAUAUAUGUUUUGUUGAAUUGCCCCUUAAUUCAACACAGGUACUGAUGAAAGAGAGCAUGGAGAUGUAAAAUCGGAUUCUAAUACGAUGAAGCAAACAUGUUUAGUGUUCGAGCAAAGCUAAUUCUUUAUUAAGGAGAGGAAGCAGCUGUAAGACAGGUCUGUUAGCUUACUUCAAUAGCACCUUGUUUGUCACACAUCUGGCGUGAGUGCUUUUUAUUCUGAGAUUGAUCAGCCGUGUGACAUUCUCUGGUGGAUGGAGGAGGCCAUCUAGGUACUGCAUUAGUGAUAGAUGGGUAGAUGCAUCUCUUGUAUAUAAGGUUUGACGAGAGAUACGGGUUAAAAUACAUGGAUUUCACAUUUUGCCAGUUUCUCAAUGAGACUUUGCUUUCUAUCCUUUUCAGAGAGUAGGUCAGAACACUCUAAGUUUGUGGCUCUAUAUCUGUCCUCAUUAUUAAACAAUGAAAAUGAUCCCUAAUUGCAGCAAUGUUUAAAAGUUAACUCCUCAGACACACAUUAGGAAGGACACAGUUACUUUACUCCACUACAUUCACUUUAUUUUACUCAGUUACACAGUUGGCAACACAGAACAAAUCGGUUCACAGUGAAACAGUUAAAAAUAACAACACAGAGACGUUGGCAGCACUGGUGAAGUUUCUUACGCAUUUUUGUAAUAUCCACAUACAUUGUUUUGUUUUAAAUCAUCAAGAAAGUAAGAGUUUAAAUGAUUAUAACCAGAUGGGUUGGGAUUUGUAUACUGUGUGUGCUGAAUGAAAUUAAAUUACCUUGAAAAUCCAAUUCAAACUAGUUAAUUUAAUAAUUUGGCAUAUUUUAAUUGAAUAUAAAUCUGAUGGCUCAUUUUUUUUAAAUAACAAGCAGAAGAAAAGCAAUUGAAAUGACAUAGUUUACUCAAAAGAUGGACAACACUUGACUUUUAUUUAACCUCUUUCAGAAAAUCCUGCUGAGAGGACGUCACAUUAAACCUGCCAGGAGCGACUCAUGAAAUGGUCCCAUUUUUGCAGAGUAAGUAAAUUAUAGUUUUUCAUUUUCACCACUGUGUCACAAAACAUCACAGAAAACCAAAGCUAUAACACUCUCGUACCAUUUAAUGUUUUCUACAGAAAUAAAGCUCUGCUCUACAGUAUAUUCUCAUAUUAUAGGCGUUAUUGCACUACGUGUUCACCUCGUGUAGCAAGAUUUCCAAAUGGCACAAUGACGAAUGCUGCACAGAUACGCAACAGUCUGUAAUAUAGACACACAUGCUUGGUUAAUAGAAUAGUGCACUACUGGGGGGUACAUAAUUACACUGAUCAGGAGUGGUGGUGACGCUCUUUUAACCUCCUUCCCUUUAGCUUCAUAGUUGAGCAGGUUUGACUAUAAUUCAUGGAACUGCAGCACUUACAGCUUUCCCAAACUUUCCAGUAUUUACAGCUAUAUUAAUUGUAGCAUCUUCCCUAUAUUAUGACACAGUUUUGAGGUGACGUAUCACAGUGUGGGGGUGAGGAAACAGAGCUGGCACGACUUGGUUUAGGUCCCUCUGGUUACAUAGACAUGUGUUCAGGCAGCACGUAGGAGAUGUCGUCCCAGGGGUGGCGGUACAGGCCCUGCCUCAGCCUCUUCUGGUCCAGGUAGUGUCCUGAGGAGAUACCAAGAGAAAGGUGUGGAUUCACAUAGAAGGUGGAUGUAGCUCAGGUGGUAGAGCAGGUUGUCUACUGAUUGCAAAGUUGGUGGUUUGAUCCCUUGUGCCUCUACAUGAUGAUUCUCAUUCAUUCAGGCCAUGAUAAGAAGCAACUAGACUUCUCUUUUAGGUUCUUGAGGACGUUGCACCUCUUAUCCAAGGUUUCUUCAAUUCUAAGUUUAGAAUUGAAACCUCUUGGACAAGAAGUUUACAGAUGGUAAAUGGUCUGCACCUAUAUAAUGCUCUUCCACCUUUACAGCACUCAUUGGAAACACCUUGGGUUCAUUGUCUUUCCUAAGGACACGUAAUCAAACUACCAACUUUACGAUUAGUGGACAGUCCUCCAAAAUCAGUGGCUUGAUUCCCUCCAUGGCUCAAAAUGUCCUUGCGAAAGACAUUGAUCCCAAAAUCCCAAGGCAGAAACACACCGUAAAGCACUUUGUAGAACCUGGCUAAGGUUAUACAGGUGACAUAUAAGUGCAGACCAUUUACCAGUUUUUUUCCUCCUUAGCAGCAUUCACUUUAAAGUGUUCACUUGCCAUGUCUUUCCUAAGGACAUUUUAGCACAUGGAGGGAAUCAAACCACCAACUUUUCGAUUUGUGGACAAUCCACUCUUCCAUGUCAGUCAUGGCUGCCUCACUGCUAGGGUCAGAAACCAAAAGAGUCAUCAAGAAAGUUUAAUUUUAAUUCUGCUUAUUAGCUCAAACAAAUUUUAGUCAUGAUAGUUCCUAAAAAAUGUACUGCAGUCACCUGCCAUUUAUUUACCACUGUCCAUCUGCGCCAUUAGUCAUACAAGUUCAUUAUAAUUAGCAAGCAUAUCAUUUAUGCAAAGCAUAUGUACGCUGUUUUCACUUUAAUGUGUCUGCUGCUUCGCUGGCAACGUCAGUGCAUGACUAACAAAAAGUGUGCUAAUUUAUACAAUCAAUUAACCAACUACUGAUUGAUAUUGCUGUGCAUGUGAAGUAAAUUGUCUGAAUUUACAACAGAUGUGUGAAAGCUCAAGUUCUUGCUGAUACAGAUCAGUUAAAUAUUCAGUUAGCACUAUGUUUUCACUACAUUAAUACAUACAAUCAUUAUGACCACCUGCCUAAUAUUGUGUUGGUCUCCUUUAUGCUGCUACAACUCCUUGGUGUAUGGACCUUAAUAGGGAGAGAUGGGCAGUGGCAGGACUAAUAUCACACUGGAAAAGUCUUGCUCUGAUCAGGAAAAUGUACUACGGUCUUAAAAUUAAUAGUACUUUGCAGAAAACUGUCUAAUGCCACUGUUAUCCUAUAAUGCAGCACAUCAUUAGAUUAUUUUUAAUAACCUGAACCACUUGCAACUCAAAGAAUCUGAAUUGAUACGUAGAAUUGGCAUCAGAAUCGAUGCAAACAAAAACCAUCCCUAAUCUGUUUCCAUAAACAACUCACCGAUGAAUCCCAUGCUGCGUCCCAACACAAAGAUGCCAUUCAGAGCUCCAAUUUCCACAAACUCAUCAGCUUCGUCCCUAUAACAAAGACACUGGCAUAUUAGAAAUCGAAAGACAAGCACUCAGUGAAUAUAUAUGCUAUCAGUAAGUCCUGAUUGUCACUUUAAUUAUUUUGGCAUUAAGUGCUAAUUUCAACCCUCCAGUCACAUUUUUACUCACUGUGGGUUUAGUUUUCACUGCAGUAUAAAGGAUUUUUUUUUUAAAAGCUGAAGCUUCCUUUACUACAGUUGAAAUGUUACUACUGCUGUGCUCAUUAUUCUUUGUGUGUGAUUAAUCUCUAUGUAUAUUAUAUUUUUGUCUGUUAUAUAGAAGCUCCAGUCCUGGUUUGGUUCCUGCUGCUUCCUGUCCUCAUUGAUUGGACCAGAAUUGUCAUCAUCCACACUUUAAAUCCUGGGAAAACUCAGUGAUUUAGUGUGAGCAGGUCGCCUCCACGUCUUUUUGUUGCAUAUUCCUGGUAACUAGACAGAUUGUGUCUGUACCAACACAAUUUGUUCAUUGCAGACUAAAGAACAGGUUUGUUAGAUUCACUUGCGCACUUUUUGUUAAAUUUGCAUUUUAAGAUCAGGUCUAUAAAUGCUACUCCCAGCUGUAGUUUCUGUUCAAUUCGUAAGCGCUGAUAAGGCAGCAUAGAUUUUAAAUUUGAGUUCUUUUGUUGUUAAUCUAGAGCAGUUAAAUUAGUUGUAAAGCUUCUAGUUAGAAGUUCUAUUUAUGGUAAUGUUAACUUCUUUUAUUUGAGUAGCAUCAACUUCCUCUUUUUGUCACCUGUGCGGAUUUAUGUUAUUCCAAAAACCUAUCAUUCAUUAAAGUAUAAUUAACUUAA